AUGCAGGAUAAAAACAUGCCGCUGAACAUCAUACCUGCCGCUGGAAUGAAGUUCACCACAUACGACAAGGCAUGGGACUUUUACAACAAUUAUGCAAGAUGUGCAAGGUUUGGCAUACGCCAGAGGGCACAACACAAGACAAAUACCUACAUUGUCUGCUCAAGAGAAGGGAUGCACAAGCAGACUGUAUCGGAUUAUCAAAGGAAACAUUAGAAGACAUCAAAAAGGAUUGACUGCAAGGCAAAGAUUAGAGUCAAAAAUAGGAAGGACGGCAAAUUUGUGAUAGAAAUGGUUGAACUCAACCACAAUCACAAGAUGCUGGAAAGCCCCGGCAUGCUUUUGCACAAGCGAUCGCACAAAAAAGACGAUCCUUUGAUAGACCAGUUAGUGAAAGACAUGCAACUAGACAACUACACCCAUGCUCAGAUGAUGUCAACGCUGCAGCGUAUGUCCGGUGGUCUGCAGUACAUGGGACGUACUAGCCGCGACUGGGUAAACAAGAAACAAAAGUUUGCUAGAGAAGAGUCCCAAGAUGAUGUCAAGAAACUUCUAGAUUUCUUCGAGAAUAUGCAGAAGAUAAACCCAGAGUUUUUCUAUGAUUAUGACGCCAACGCAAGUUGCAAAUGAUCAUAUGAAGAUUUUGGAGACUGCGUUACAUUUGACAUGAGGUAUAAAACUAACAAAUUCCACAUGCCGCUGGGAGUCUUCGUGGGAGUGAACCAUCAUCUACAAAGCACCAUAUUUGCUGUUGCACUCGUGCGAGAUGAAACAAUACCAUCGUUCGAGUUCAGAGGUAAAGACAUCAACCCAGUUUGGGUUCAAAGUUCAGUUAUCAAAAGUGUAUACAAGGGCAGUGUUUGCAGAUUUCAAAGAAACACUCUACUGUAGCACUGCAUUUAGAGCAGAACGGUGCCCUGAGAAUCCGACAAAGUAUCUCGUACACCACUACAACAGAUUGGAUGCAUUUGACUAG
rnacentral:rRNA from 1 species